rnacentral:rRNA from 1 species
UACGAGAGGCCCAAACGUUAUUCGGAAUUACUGGGCUUAAAGAGUUCGUAGGCGGCGCAGAAAGUAGGGUGUGAAAGCCCUCGGCUUAACCGAGGAAUUGCGCUCUAAACUACUGUGCUUGAGGACCUAGAGGUGAGCAGAACUGAUGGUGGAGCGGUGAAAUGCGUUGAUAUCAUCAGGAACACCGGUGGCGAAGGCGGGUCUCUGGGCCGAUACUGACGCUGAGGCACGAAAGCGUGGGGAUCGAACAGG